UUCUCCAGAGCUUUUGCUUUCUCUGCAGAAGGAACCCGGGCCUGGUAGUCAGAAGUCCUGGAAAAUGGAGUGCCUUCCACCAUGAGAAGCAAGAUUCAGAGGGUGCUCAGUGUCCACCAUAACCCCUCUCCCUGUUCAGAAGCAGAAGGGGUUGUGUCACUGGCGUGGGAGGCUCAACAGGAAGCUCUUGAUGACCCCAGUGGUGGAGAAGCUCCAUUGUCACGUGCUACUAGCCACCCUCCACUCCUGCACUCCCCAGACACCCUUCGGAUUUUUGCCCAGUGACAAGUGGGGACGACAUGGGGCAAUAUGCAUGAUCAGAAGUGCAGCUGGCAGGUCUACAUUUCUGCAGCCACUGAAAUUUUCCUGGGCCAGUAGGAGUGUAGAUGAAAAAACUGACCAGGAAAAGACAAGAUCUUAAAAUCAGUAGCAGAACCGAUAGUCCACAUUCAGGUUCUCAGCCCCCAAGUCUCAGAACCUGGGCUCAUCUGGCAUUCUCAACUGGCGUGUCCCCAGCUUUGAAAAAUACGCAGAAGCAUUUGAACCUUGAAACAAGGAGCCUGUCAGGACUCAAUAAUAACGAUAAUAUUAAUAAUGAUGAUGGUACUUGUUAAACACUUACUAUGUGUGAAGCGCUGGGGAAGAUACAAGUUAAGCAGGUUGGACACAGUCCCUGUCCCCCGUGGGGCUCACAGAUUAAACAGUAGGGAGAGCAGGUAUUGAAUCCCCAUUUUACAGUUGAGGAAACUGAGGCUCAGAGAAGCAAAGGGAUUGCCCAAGGUGAUGCAUCAAACAAAUGGUAGAGCUGGGAUUAGAACCCAGGUCCUCUGAUUCCCAGGCCCGUGUUCUUUCCACCAAGCUCGGCCUCGAGACUUGUAAGCUCAUUAUGGGCAGGGAAUGUGUCCGUUUAUUGUUGUAUCGUACUCUCCUAAGCACUUAGUACAGUGCUCUGCACAGAGUAAGCGCUCAGUAAAUAUGAUCGGAUGAAUGCUUCCCACCCUCCUCAAGAGGAGAAAAGAAAGAAGAGGACAGACAGGGAGUGGCAGCAGCCAAAGAAAGGAGCCCAGGAAAGUAGAAAAGCUAAAGAAAGCAAGCAAGCAGGGUGAAGGUUAGAAACUAUGACCACAAGGGGAAAGAAUGAGGCAGGAGAAAUAGGAUGGGAGAGGAGUAGAACUCACGGUUGGCGGUGGUUGCAUUGGUGGACACUCAGCCACAAAGGGCUCAUCUCUGUUCUCUGUCUAUAUCGUGUUAGCGUUUUGUUUCAUUUCUCCUUCUAUGUCACUUAGCAAUCCCCACUCGUCCUUUUUCUUUUCAGAUUGCGAGCCCCCUGAUUAUUGAAAGGUGAAAGUUUCUGUACCAAGUCAUCAGACGUGGAACAUCUAAUUGUAACUGAUUCAGUGUCUAGUUCCCACCUGUUUAUUUUUUCCCUGUGCUUAGUACAAUGGUCUGCGCACAGUAAGCACCUUAUAAAUACCAUCACUACCAUUACUGGAUGGGUCUCAGGUGAGAAACUCAGCAAAAUUGGAGGGACUGAGAGAGAUUGGAAGAAAUCAGUGGAGGUAAGGGGGACGGAAGCCAGCUGGGAGGUUGAAAGAUGAGGUUGUGCAAACCACUAGCAUUAUAAUCAACUCCUUCACACAGUGUCUUGGCCCUCAAGUCCCUCUGACUGGAUCCAGAGCCAUCCACCGCUUAAAGUGGGAGAGAUUCCAACAUCAUUAUUGGAGUCUGCCCCCUCUGAUCAGUUGACAUUUUAACAAUGCAGUCCAUCAGGCAAAGGAAUUGAACGCUUACCGUGUGCCGAGCCCUGUACUGAGCGCUUGGGAGAGUAUAAAUAUUCACUGAAUCGAAUUUGACUUAUUGAGUCUCACCAGCAUCAGUUGUUGGAGUUUUUGGUAUUAUCGAUGGGAUUUUUUCCCAUCGCGAUCACGUGCUGCCAGGCUUAUGUACAUAUGUGCAUGUGUACUUUUGGAAAGUGAAGAGAAACAGGGAGGCCGACCUACAUGCAAGCACACAGGCUGGUGGGUUUCAUGCUCUGGGGGUGGGGCGGGGCGUCGCUUAAGGGUUGCCUCUUGUUGAGCUUCUUGGGGUGACAGUUCAA
rnacentral:lncRNA from 1 species